UGCAAGUCGAACGGUAACGACACUAGCUUGCUAGUGGGCGACGAGUGGCGGACGGGUGAGUAACGCGUAGGAAUCUACCUAGUAGUGGGGGAUAGCCAAGGGAAACUUUGGGUAAUACCGCAUACGAUCUAAGGAUGAAAGGGGGCCUCUCUUUGAAGCUCUCGCUAUUAGAUGAGCCUGCGUAAGAUUAGCUUGUUGGUGAGGUAAUGGCUCACCAAGGCGACGAUCUUUAGCUGGUCUGAGAGGAUGAUCAGUCACACUGGAACUGAGACACGGUCCAGACUCCUACGGGAGGCAGCAGUCGGGAAUAUUGGACAAUGGGGGAAACCCUGAUCCAGCCAUGCCGCGUGUGUGAAGAAGGCCCUAGGGUUGUAAAGCACUUUUAGUAGUGAGGAAGGCUCAGUAGUUAAUACCUGCUGGGAUUGACGUUAGCUACAGAAAAAGCACCGGCUAAUUUCGUGCCAGCAGCCGCGGUAAUACGAAAGGUGCAAGCGUUAAUCGGAAUUACUGGGCGUAAAGCGCGCGUAGGCGGCUUGGUAAGUUGGAUGUGAAAGCCCCGGGCUCAACCUGGGAACUGCAUCCAAAACUGCCUAGCUAGAGUAUGGUAGAGGAUGGCGGAAUUUCCUGUGUAGCGGUGAAAUGCGUAGAUAUAGGAAGGAACAUCAGUGGCGAAGGCGGCCAUCUGGACCAAUACUGACGCUGAGGUGCGAAAGCGUGGGGAGCAAACAGGAUUAGAUACCCUGGUAGUCCACGCCGUAAACGAUGAGAACUAGCCGUUGGACAUCUUGCAUGUUUAGUGGCGCAGCUAACGCGAUAAGUUCUCCGCC
rnacentral:rRNA from 1 species